UACGAGGGGGGCAAGCGUUGUUCGGAAUUAUUGGGCGUAAAGGGCGCGUAGGCGGUGCGGUAAGUCUGAUGUGAAAUCUCCGGGCUCAACUCGGAGUCUGCAUCAGAAACUGCCGUGCUUGAGUGUGGGAGAGGUGAGUGGAAUUCCCGGUGUAGCGGUGAAAUGCGUAGAUAUCCCGAGGAAUACCAGUGGUGAAGACGGUGCCCUGGGCCAUACCUGACGCUGAGAUGCGAAAGCGUGGGGAGCGAACGGG
rnacentral:rRNA from 1 species